ACUCGCGCGGGUAACGCGCGAGGUGAGUGAACUCUCCCAGCAUUCUUUGCAAAACAGUUCGGCCAUGUUGUUGAACCGCGAAAGUUGAACGAGGCUGAAAAACGGCAGGCAUAAAGGGGAAGAACUUCGCUGGGAGUUGGAGAGCUUUGUUGGCGAGCGAUUGAACUCGGAUUGCAGAUAAAGUGGCAGUCAGUGAGUCUUCCCUUUGCAGUUGGAGGAGGAAGUGCUGGUGAUUGGGUACAGUAUUGUAAAUUGUUUUGCAUGUGACCUUUUCGAUUGCAAGUGGUACAUAUUCAGUUGAUGGUAGAAGACAUUCCUACUUUAGCAUAGUUCUCCAUUUAUGUGAUAUUGCAGAUAGAAGGUUGUAAUACGUACAAUGUAUGGGUUAUUGACCAAGUGUGAGGUCAAGA